rnacentral:rRNA from 1 species
AUUGAACGCUGGCGGCAUGCCUUACACAUGCAAGUCGAACGGCAGCACGGGAGCAAUCCUGGUGGCGAGUGGCGAACGGGUGAGUAAUAUAUCGGAACGUGCCCAGUCGUGGGGAUAACGUAGCGAAAGCUACGCUAAUACCGCAUACGAUCUAUGGAUGAAAGCGGGGGAUCGCAAGACCUCGCGCGAUUGGAGCGGCCGAUAUCAGAUUAGGUAGUUGGUGAGGUAAAGGCUCACCAAGCCGACGAUCUGUAGCUGGUCUGAGAGGACGACCAGCCACACUGGGACUGAGACACGGCCCCAGACUCCUACGGGAGGCAGCAGUGGGGAAUUUUUGGACAAUGGGCGCAAGCCUGAUCCAGCAAUGCCGCGUGCAGGAUGAA